ensembl:lncRNA
CCCAUCCCCAUAUGUCCCAUCCCCAUAGAUCCCCAUCCCCAUAGGUCCCCAUCCCCAUAGAUCCCCAUAGAUCCCUAUAGUUCCCCAUAGAUCCCCAUCCCUGUAGGUCCCCAUAGAUCCCUAUAGUUCCCCAUAGAUCCCCAUCCCCGUAGGUCUCCAUAGAUCCCCAUAGGUCCCCAUCUCCAUAUGUCCCCAUCCCCAUAUGUCCUCAUCCCCAUAGAUCCCCAUAUGCCCCCACCCCCAUAGAUCCCCCCAUUCCCAUAGGUCCCCAUAGACCCCCAUAGUCCCCAUAGGUCCCUAUAGGUCCCCAUUCCCAUAUGCCCCCGUGCCCAUAGGUCCCCAUCUCCAUAGAUCCCCAUAUGCCCCCACCCCAUAGAUCCCCACCCCCAUAGAUCCCCAUCCCCAUAGAUCCCCAUAGAUCCCCACCCCCAUACGCCCCCACCCCCAUAUGUCCCUAUGGGAACACUGGGGCUCACCAAACCCCCAUGGGUGACACCCCCCCUUACCCCCCUCUCCUUCUGUCCCUAUACUGUCCCCAGAGAUCGAUGAGGACCGGCUCCCCAACGCUCUGCUGAAGGUAAGUGAUGGCCUGGGGGUCCCCAACACCCCGAGGUGCCCCCACCCCACAUCACCCCCCAUCUCUGUUUGCUUUGCAGUCGGGUCUGGCCAUGUCCCCCAGGCAGAGGAAGAAGGUUUACUGCACCACCCCCACCGUCAAAGAGCUGCAGAUGAUGGUGGAGCAUCACCUGUGCAAGCAGGCCAGGGGUGAGGAUGACGAUGAUGUUCCCAUUGGAGCCCAGGAGCUCAGCACAACCUGCUGCCACCACGGGGACCCCGAGCACAACCACAGCCCCGGGGGCAGCUGCCCAUUGACCCCAGCUCAACCCACAGCACAGGGCAGCCCAGAGCCUGGGGACAGUGAGUCGUUGUCACUAUUGUCCCCCUAUUGUGGGGCUUGAAGGGGGUUGGGGGGUGUUGGGGGUCUGGGCUGAGCCACGUUGGUUUGUGCCCAUAGGGGAUGAGAGGCAAAGUGCGGGUGAGGAGGGCGCCCAUAUAGAACCAGGGGGAAAGGGAGCUGCUGGCUGCGUGUAGGUACGUGAUGGGGGGC